rnacentral:rRNA from 1 species
ACCCUUCGGGGGGACGACGCCUUUAAUGAGCGGCGGACGGGUGAGUAACACGUAAAGAACCUGCCCAUAGGUCUGGGAUAACCACGAGAAAUCGGGGCUAAUACCGGAUGUGUCAUCGGACCGCAUGGUCCGCUGAUGAAAGGCGCUUCGGCGUCGCCCAUGGAUGGCUUUGCGGUGCAUUAGCUAGUUGGUGGGGUAAUGGCCCACCAAGGCGACGAUGCAUANCCGACCUGAGAGGGUGAUCGGCCACACUGGGACUGAGACACGGCCCAGACUCCUACGGGAGGCAGCAGUAGGGAAUCUUCCACAAUGGACGAAAGUCUGAUGGAGCAACGCCGCGUGAACGAUGAAGGCUUUCGGGUCGUAAAGUUCUGUUGUAAGGGAAGAACAAGUGCCGCAGGCAAUGGCGGCACCUUGACGGUACCUUGCGAGAAAGCCACGGCUAACUACGUGCCAGCAGCCGCGGUAAUACGUAGGUGGCAAGCGUUGUCCGGAAUUAUUGGGCGUAAAGCGCGCGCAGGCGGCCUCUUAAGUCUGAUGUGAAAGCCCCCGGCUCAACCGGGGAGGGCCAUUGGAAACUGGGAGGCUUGAGUAUAGGAGAGAAGAGUGGAAUUCCACGUGUAGCGGUGAAAUGCGUAGAGAUGUGGAGGAACACCAGUGGCGAAGGCGACUCUUUGGCCUAUAACUGACGCUGAGGCGC